rnacentral:rRNA from 1 species
CACGUAGGGCGCGAGCGUUGUCCGGAAUUAUUGGGCGUAAAGAGCUCGUAGGCGGCCUGUUGCGUCCGCUGUGAAAGCCCGGGGCUUAACCCCGGGUCGGCAGUGGAUACGGGCAGGCUAGAGGUAGGUAGGGGAGAAUGGAAUUCCCGGUGUAGCGGUGAAAUGCGCAGAUAUCGGGAGGAACACCGGUGGCGAAGGCAGCUCGCUGGGACGGUACUGACGCUGAGGCGCGAAAGCGUGGGGAGCAAACAGGG